rnacentral:rRNA from 1 species
CCUACGGGUGGCAGCAGUGAGGAAUAUUGGUCAAUGGGCGCGAGCCUGAACCAGCCAAGUCGCGUGAGGGAAGACGGCCCUACGGGUUGUAAACCUCUUUUGCCGGGGAGCAACGGGCGCGACGUGUCCCGCCCCUGAGGGUACCCGGAGAAAAAGCAUCGGCUAACUCCGUGCCAGCAGCCGCGGUAAUACGGAGGAUGCGAGCGUUAUCCGGAUUUAUUGGGUUUAAAGGGUGCGUAGGCGGGGCGUUAAGUCAGUGGUAAAAUUGCGGGGCUCAACCCCUUCCCGCCGUUGAAACUGGCGGUCUUGAGUGGGCGAGAAGAAGGCGGAAGGCGUGGUGUAGCGGUGAAAUGCAUAGAUAUCACGCAGAACCCCGAUUGCGAAGGCAGCAUGCCGGCGUCCUACUGACGCUGAGGCACGAAAGCGUGGGGAUCGAACAGGAUUAGAUACCCUAGUAGUC